rnacentral:rRNA from 1 species
ACUCCUACGGGAGGCAGCAGUCGGGAAUUUUGCUCAAUGGGCGAAAGCCUGAAGCAGCAACGCCGCGUGAGGGAUGAAGGCCUUCGGGUUGUAAACCUCUUUUUCCAGGGACGAUAAUGACGGUACCUGAAGAAUAAGUCACGGCUAACUACGUGCCAGCAGCCGCGGUAAUACGUAGGCMGCAAGCGUUGUUCGGAGUUACUGGGCGUAAAGAGUGCGUAGGCGGUUCCGUAAGUUUGGUGUGAAAUCUCCCGGCUUAACUGGGAGGGUGCGCCGAAAACUGCGGGGCUGGAGUGUGGGAGAGGUAAGCGGAAUUCCUGGUGUAGCGGUGAAAUGCGUAGAUAUCAGGAGGAACACCGGCGGUGUAGACGGCUUACUGGACCAUGACUGACGCUGAGGCACGAAAGCGUGGGGAGCAAACAGGAUUAGAUACCCUGGUAGUCCACGCCCUAAACGAUGUCGACUAGGUGUUGGGGAAGGAGACUUCCUUAGUACCGCAGCUAACGCGUGAAGUCGACCGCCUGGGGAGUACGGUCGCAAGAUUAAAACUCAWAGGAAUUGACGG